rnacentral:rRNA from 1 species
GGAUUAGGCAUGCAAGUCGCACGAAUCCCAUUUGGGUAACUGAGUGGGGGAAGUGGCGAAAGGGGCAGUAAGGCAUGGGUAACUUGCCCUGGAGUCCGGAAUAGCCAUCCUAACGGAUGGGUAAUACCGGAUGUCGUACCUGGAGGGCCUCCUUCGGGUACGAAAGUUCAGGCGCUCCGGGAGGGGUCCAUGUAGUAUUAGCUAGUUGGUGAGGUAACGGCUCACCAAGGCCAAGAUGCUUAGCAGGUGUGAGAGCACGACCUGCGCCACUGGCACUGGGACACUGGCCAGACUCCUACGGGAGGCUGCAGUCGAGGAUCUUCGUCAAUGGGCGAAAGCCUGAACGAGCGACGCCGCGUGGGCGAUGAAGGCCUUCGGGUUGUAAAGCCCUGUCGAGGGGGAGAAAAGCGGGCAACCGUGUGAUCUAUCCCUGGAGGAAGCUCGGGCUAAGUUCGUGCCAGCAGCCGCGGUAAUA